rnacentral:rRNA from 1 species
CCCGGUGGUAAAUCUUAACGGCCGCAGUUGAUAGCUGUGCUAAGGUAGCAUAAUAAGUUGUCCUUUAAAUGAGGAAAGGAAUGAAUGGUUUGACGUAAGAAUGACUGUCUCUAAAGGAGGUAAGGAAUUUUUCUUCUUAGUGAAAAGUCUAAGAAAAAAUUAAAAGACGAGAAGACCCUGUUGAGCUUAACUUACUGGUUUAUUUUAAAAGCAGGAAAAUUUGGUUGGGGCAACUAAGGAGCAAGUGGAGCCUCCUUAAUGACUAUGUGGAUCCAGAAAUUUUGAACAAAGAAAAAGCUACCACAGGGAUAACAGCGUUAUCUUUUCUGAGAGAACAAAUUGAAGGAAAG